UAUCUGUAAUUCUGUAUGGCUUUUUUUAUUUUUAGAUUGGUAAUGAUAUGUAUAUCAUCUUGGAAACAGUUUUGGCGUGGCACCUUGGGGGAAGCAAAUAGAAUAUUCUCUAGUCGACAUCCAAAGGGAGAAAUUACAGUUAUAGUAGAAGGAAAGGAGAAACCUGUUGCUGAAACUCCAUCAGAGUCUGAACUGGAGCAUGAACUAAGAUCCUUGGUCUCAAAUGGGCACAGUAUUGCCAUGGUAUUCAAUGAAGUUCAUAACUGCUCUUCCUUCGACUUUGUUACAUGUGUGUUAUAUUUGCAGUGAAGUUUGCUGCUGAAGGAAGAGCAGCAAAGAGAAAGCAUGUCUAUGCGCUUGCACUGAGGUUGUUUGGAAAACAUACGGAAAGUGAACCCUCUUCAAAUUAGUUAAUAUUUUCUUUUUUGACCAAGUGAUCCCGAUAGUUUUUGGUAGCAAAUAUUCCAUAUCUGAAGGGCCAGAAGGCUGUGUUGUUAUGAUAUACCAGGAGCACGAGGAACAUGAACUCACUAACCAACUCAAAGCUGCUUGUGCAGAGGAAAGUGUAAUUACUGCAAAGAUCUUCCCGUUCAAGCACUUCAAGUGGAGAGGAUGUAGAUGGUGAGGCCUAACCUUGCUCUGUUGGUGGAUUCAUCAAGAAUCAACUGUGUCUGUCUUCUUCUCUGUAGAUCAGCUUGUUAGUAUGCAUCUUAAAGUUGCUUUUUGUUUUGUUGACCCGUCAGGGUUCGCUAGUAUUUUCUUUUCACUUACGGAGCAUCCCAUCUUUUCUGAAUUCUCUAGCUUAAAAGCACUUACAGCCUGUUUGGUAACCAAUAUUUCAUUUUAAAUACCGUAAUUGACCCAAUUACAUUGUUUGGAUUCAAAAGAAUUUGAAUACUCGAUAUUGAGCCAAAUCCAUUAACAUUGUAAACCGGUAAUAAACCUAGAAUUCUAAAUCCCACCCUAUUCUCUGUCAUUUACAAUUCCAUAUUUUUUCGACCCACGAUCUCUCUCUCACUUCCGCUUCCGCCGUUUUUCUUUCUCGAGCCACGAUUUCUCUCUCCUUACUUCAGCUCUCAAUUGCUCUCUUUCUCCAGUUCCAUCAAAACUCUUGAUCUUAGAUCCAACCGGCAACAACGCUAUCGCUCUCUCUCCAGUUCCAUCAAAACCCUAGUUCCUAGAUCAAGCCGGUGAAGACGAUCCAAACAGCGACGGCUCGCAAGCACUAAUAUCACCUUGGGCGACGACGACAAUACAACAGUGAUUCAAGAACUCGCAAUGCAAGACUUUCUGAACCGAGGGGAGAAAACUACCAAAGAAAUACAAAGUGAAAGUGUGUAAGUAUUAGAAAGAAACUCUCAUUUGAAUCACAUGUAAAAGUCUUAAAGAAACUAGUGCGAGGGCAACUUAUGCAUGAUACUGCGUAACGACGAAUUAUUAACUUUUAUUGGUUUGUAUUUGUUGGAUAUUUUUGAUCUCUAGUUUGUUGAAUUGUUAUAUGUAAUAUUUGAAGUUUCUACUUUAUUUAUUGUUUUGUUUAGUAG